GCUUACGGCCAUACCACCCUGAACACGCCCGAUCUCGUCUGAUCUCGGAAACUAAGCAGGGUCGGGCCUGGUCAGUACUUGGAUGGGAGACCGCCUGGGAAUACCAGGUGCUGUAAGCU
ensembl:rRNA 5S_rRNA 5S ribosomal RNA